GGCUCUUUGGUUAAAAAAAUAAGGAGUCGGGCCUGCCCGGUGAUAAAAAUUUUAACGGCCGCGGUCCUUUGACCGUGCGAAGGUAGCGUAAUCAUUUGCUCUAUAAUUGAGGGCUUGUAUGAAUGGUUUGACGAGAGUUUAGCUGUCUCUAUCUAAUUUUUCAGAAUUUAACUUUCAAGUGAAGAGGCUUGAGUAAAAUUAAAAGACGAGAAGACCCUAUCGAGCUUAUGAUAAUUAUUAAUAGUAUUUGUUAAAAAAUCUUUAAUGGGGCGAUUAAGGAACAAAUAAAGCUUCUUCAAAUAAAUAGAUUUGCGGAUUUUGAUCCAUUAAUUAAUGAUUAAAGGAUAAAGUUACCGUAGGGAUAACAGCGUUAUCUUUCUUGAGAGUUCAUAUUAAAAGAAAGGUUUGCGACCUCGAUGUUGGACUAAAGUCUCCUAAAGGUGCAGAAGUCUUUAAGGGUUGGUCUGUUCGACCAUUAAAACUUU
rnacentral:rRNA from 1 species